AGUCAGACAUGAUUGAGCACCUAACCAACAACAACAGCUGCUAGGGUUCACAGACCCCCAGCCAAGCAGAAUAGAGCAGAGGAUGGAAAGGCAGGUGUGGGGCUGAAAAGCAGAUGGGAAGGCAGAAAUCCAAUAAAAGUAAAAAAAAAAAAAAAAAGUAGAAGAGGAGAAAGGACAACUGUGGUAAUACAAAGAUGAACUGAAGCCAAGUUUCUGGAAUUCUUUCAAAACUGUCACUUCCGAGCUGUCUCCCCUUGCACACCUUUUGUAGAGAGAUCAAAAUCUCAGGCUCUGAUCUCUGAAUUGGUAAUGUCUCCAUUCACUGACAGAAGUAAACACAAAUAUCUUUUUGAGGAAUACCACAUCCAUCCUAGGCCUUAAAGAUUUUUCACAGAUGGUUUGUGGAUCUCCUGGCUCCUUCAUCAGAUUGAGCGACACAAGGAAGAAUCAUGGACAGUGAGAGCAGCGGGAAACAGGCCGGCCUUAGAUUCUGAAGUCUGUGGGUGGAGCUCCCUGCCCCUGACCUCUGAUACCUGCUCUCCACAAUGACUGAGCUACUGUUUUAGAGCUUCCGCCUGCGGACGUGAUGCUAGAACAAACAGAUAUUCUACUUGCAUCUUCUCACCUUCCUUCCAAGUGGCAGCACACUGUCUACUUUUAGAGCUGUAUGUAUUGGACACAAGGAGUCAAAUGCCAGGCAAAGUGUUUGAUGUUGGCAGGUCGCUAAGACUAGCAGCAAUGCCUCUCCUGGGGUCCAACUUCUCAACAAGACAAACAUCUGGAAGCUUUAUUGAUAUAUCUUCAGCCAGGGUUCAAAACACGUUCAGGAGAGAGAAGGUCUGGGGGCUAAGCAUACACCAUUUGUUCGUUUACUACUUUCAUUUGCUAUAUAUUUAACUAUGUGUGUCAAUUUGUAUAUGUCAAUUAAAUACAUUGCAUAU